rnacentral:rRNA from 1 species
GACGAACGCUGGCGGCGUGCUUAACACAUGCAAGUCGAACGAUGAACCCGGAGCUUGCUCCGGCGGAUUAGUGGCGAACGGGUGAGUAACACGUGAGUAACCUGCCCUUGACUCUGGGAUAACUGCUAGAAAUGGUAGCUAAUACCGGAUACGACCCUCGGUGGCAUCACCAGGGGGUGGAAAGAAUUUCGGUCAAGGAUGGACUCGCGGCCUAUCAGCUAGUUGGUGAGGUAACGGCUCACCAAGGCGACGACGGGUAGCCGGCCUGAGAGGGUGACGGGCCACACUGGGACUGAGACACGGCCCAGACUCCUACGGGAGGCAGCAGUGGGGAAUAUUGCACAAUGGGCGCAAGCCUGAUGCAGCAACGCCGCGUGAGGGAUGACGGCCUUCGGGUUGUAAACCUCUUUUAGUAGGGAAGAAGUGAAAGUGACGGUACCUGCAGAAAAAGCACCGGCUAACUACGUGCCAGCCGCCGCGGUAA